rnacentral:rRNA from 1 species
UACGUAGGGAGCUAGCGUUGUCCGGAAUCACUGGGCGUAAAGGGCGCGUAGGUGGCCCGUUAAGUGGCUGGUGAAAUCCCGCGGCUCAACUGCGGGGCUGCCGGUCAGACUGGCGAGCUAGAGCACGGUAGGGGCAGAUGGAAUUCCCGGUGUAGCGGUGGAAUGCGUAGAGAUCGGGAAGAAUACCAGUGGCGAAGGCGUUCUGCUGGGCCGUUGCUGACACUGAGGCGCGACAGCGUGGGGAGCAAACAGG